GGCCCUGCAGGACAAUAAACGUUUGGGGGACACUGAGUAAUGUAGCCAUUUCUGACCCAGCAGCCAAGAAAAUGUGAGCCGAUUUGCUGCUACUGGGAAGAGGACAGCCUCAGCUGUGUUCCUGGGAGAGCAGAUUAACUUCACCACAGUGGACCCAGGCGACCAAACACGCCAAAAUGGACGAUAAUAUGGAUUCAAAAUCCAUUCUAGAAGAACUUCUUCUCAAAAGGUCACAGCAAAAGAAGAAAAUGUCACCAAAUAAUUACAAAGAGCGGCUUUUUGUUUUGACUAAAACAAACCUUUCUUACUAUGAAUACGACAAAAUGAAAAGAGGCAGUAGAAAAGGAUCAAUUGAAAUUAAGAAAAUCAGAUGUGUGGAGAAAGUCAAUCUCGAGGAGCAAACACCAGUGGAGAGACAGUACCCAUUUCAGAUUGUCUAUAAAGAUGGACUUCUCUAUGUCUAUGCAUCAAAUGAAGAGAGCCGAAGUCAGUGGUUGAAAGCAUUACAAAAAGAGAUAAGGGGCAACCCCCACCUGCUGAUCAAGUACCACAGUGGGUUCUUCGUGGAUGGGAAGUUCCUGUGCUGCCAGCAGAGUUGCAAAGCGGCCCCAGGAUGUACCCUCUGGGAAGCAUAUGCUGAUCUGCACAUUGCCAUCAAUGAAGAGAAACACAGAACUCCCUUUUUCCCAGACAGGGUGCUAAAGAUUCCUCGGGCAGUUCCUAUUCUCAAAAUGGAUGCACCGUCUUCAAGUAUUACUCUACCUCAAUAUGACGUUGAUGCAAAGAAAAACUUCAGUUCCCAGCCAAAUGUCAACAUGCGAUAUAUUCCAAGGGAAGACUGCCCUGACUGGUGGCAAGUAAGAAAACUGAAAAGCAAAUGUCUCACUGUACCAAUGAUGCAGCCACAAGGCCAUAUGGAAUUUGAAAAUCUCAGUGAAGAUGUUGCAUGCAGUUAUCAGAUGGAAAGAAAUAUUGUAAAUCACAGCACCUCAAAGAUAUCAUGGGGGUUCCCUGAGUCAAGUUCAUCUGAAGAAGAAGAAAACCUGGAUGAUUAUGAUUGGUUUGCAGGUAACAUCUCCAGGUCACAAUCUGAGCAGUUACUGAGACAAAAGGGAAAAGAAGGUGCAUUUAUGGUUAGAAAUUCCAGCCAGGUGGGAAUGUACACGGUGUCCUUAUUUAGUAAGGCUGUGAAUGAUAAAAAAGGAACUGUCAAACAUUACCACGUGCAUACAAAUGCUGAAAAUAAAUUAUACCUGGCAGAAAACUACUGUUUUGAUUCCAUACCAAAGCUUAUUCAUUAUCAUCAACACAAUUCAGCAGGCAUGAUCACAAGGCUCCGCCACCCUGUGUCAACCAAGGCCAACAAGGUCCCAGUCUCUGUGUCCCUGGGAAGUGGAAUCUGGGAACUGAAAAGAGAAGAGAUCACCCUGUUGAAGGAGCUGGGAAGUGGCCAGUUUGGUGUGGUCCAGCUGGGCAAGUGGAAGGAACAGUAUGAUGUUGCCGUUAAGAUGAUCAAGGAGGGCUCCAUGUCAGAAGAUGAAUUCUUUCAGGAGGCCCAGACCAUGAUGAAACUCAACCAUCCCAAGCUGGUUAAAUUCUAUGGAGUGUGUUCAAAGAAAUAUCCCAUAUACAUAGUGACUGAAUAUAUAACUAACGGCUGCUUGCUCAAUUAUCUGAAGAGUCAUGGAAAAGAACUAGAACCCUCCCAGCUCUUAGAAAUGUGCUAUGAUGUCUGUGAAGGCAUGGCUUUCUUGGAGAGUCACCAAUUCAUACACCGGGACUUGGCUGCUCGGAACUGCUUGGUGGACAGUGACCUGUCUGUGAAAGUCUCUGAUUUUGGAAUGACAAGGUAUGUUCUUGAUGACCAGUAUGUGAGCUCAGUAGGAACAAAGUUUCCAGUCAAGUGGUCAGCCCCAGAGGUGUUUCACUACUUCAAAUACAGCAGCAAGUCAGACGUAUGGGCAUUUGGGAUCCUGAUGUGGGAGGUGUUCAGCCUGGGGAAGCAGCCCUAUGACUUGUAUGACAACUCCCAGGUGGUCGUGAAGGUCUCCCAGGGCCAUAGGCUCUACCAGCCACAACUGGCGUCGGACACCAUCUACCAGAUCAUGUACAGCUGCUGGCAUGAGCUUCCAGAAAAGCGCCCCACAUUUCAGCAACUCCUAUCUUCCAUCGAACCACUUCGGGAAAAAGACAAGCCUUGAAGAAGAAAUUAGAAGUGCUGAUGAGAAUGAACUGCUGAGAAUCAAACCCAGUGCCUCACACAUAUCAGGAAGAGAAGGAACAAGUGACACAAUCCUGCCUUCUCCAUGAGCCUGCAGACCAGUGGGAACCUGCAUCAUAGACCGUUAAUCUUUGUUUUUGGUCUCCCUCUUGAUUGUUUUCCUUUAUUGUCCUUAUUUUUGUGUAUUUGAUCUUUUAAAAAAGAAUCUGCUUUAUAACAAAAGUAGUACAUGCUUGUUGCAAAAUUCAAACAAUACAGAAUUGUUUACUAUGAAAAGAGAAUAAAGCUUUGCUUAGAAGCCUGACUCCUGAAACCAAGCCAAGCAAGAAUUCAAGGUACCACUAGAGGCUUACCAGAAAAUAAGUCCAAGAGGAGCAAAACAAACAAACAAACAAAAAAAACCCCCCAAAACCCCCCAAAACAAAAAACAACAAAACUUCAUAUAUCUAAAAAAUACAUAAUGACUUUUAAAAUGUGGUUUAAUUGUGUUUUGUGGUGAUAUGCAGCAUUCAUGGUUAUAAUUUUAAACAGAAGUCUGCCCACAUUCUCAGGGGAGUAAAGAAAAAGGCACAGACUUCUUUGCUAAGAAACUUUCCCAAAGGGCAAGCCAAAGAGCAACUUCAGAGAAGAGAUUUUCUAGAUGAAGUCCAAAAGUCUUUUUUUUUUUUUAAAGAGUGAGAGAGAGAGUGAGAGAAUUUUUUAAUAUUUAUUUUUUAGUUCUCGGUGGACACAACAUCUUCGUUUGUAUGUGGUGCUGAGGAUUGAACCCGGGCCGCACGCAUGCCAGACAAGCGCGCUACCACUUGAGCCACAUCCCCAGCCCCAAGUCCAAAAGUCUUGGUGAGCUUUUUCGGAUCUGCUAAAAGUGAAAUGCAAAGUCAAGAGAGUCUAGCAAAAUCCAUAUCAUAUCUGCUUGAAUUAAUCAAGAGAAAGAUUCUAACAUAGUAGACUUAUAAAUUUGAGUUUCUCAAUUUUGAUUCUGACUCUGACUCUUAAGUGAAUGAGGAGAGAUUGGACCUAAGGCCCCAUCUUUACUUAAUGGGGAAAGCAUGGCUUUCAAAUGAGGGAGAAUAAUUCAUUGACAGACAUCAGGGGAGAAGAAGGUAGCAUCUGCCCUUUUUGCUUUGAUUACUUUUCUACCAACCCCAUCCCAUAAAAAAUAAUUAAAUUCCUAGGAAGUAAACACUUAGUGAAUGUCUUCUGAUUCUAUAAACAGAUGUUCCUUCUGUCUCUGAACUCAUAAUUUCAUGUAACCCUUGCUUCCUUAGUCAGCAAAGUUUGCCUGGAAAAGGCCCUGUGAGAUGGGCAUGGUGGUGCAUUCCUGUAAUCCCAGCGACUCAGGAGGCUGAGGCAGGAGGAUCACAAGUUUCAGACCAGCCUCAGUAGUUUAGUGAGGGCUUAGCAAUUUAGAGAGAUCCUGUCUCCAAAAAAAAAUUUUUUUAAAGGGCUGAGAAUAUGGCUCAGUGGUAAAACAGUCCAAUCCUCAGUACCCCUCCCCGCCAAAAAAUAAACAAGGCUUUGUGAACUGUACCAUCUCUGAGUCAACUACCCAACACCGUUUUGUAGCAUGAAAGUAACCCUAGACAAUAUGAAAAUGAAUGGAUGUAAUUGGAUUCCAAUAAAACCUCAUUUAUGGACA